GGUGCUUUUGUUAACUGCUAUUACAGAUGCACUAAAUCGAACAUAUGGAAAUCGUCAUAAGAGUCUUGAAAACCUUCCCGGUCAAUACAUCAAUACCGUAUUAGUCUGUAUUAGCUCCCAAAGGUGGUGAGAUUCCUGUAGAUGUUCAAUGCUUGGCUGCCCAAGGAAUCUUUAAUCUGGGCAGAGUCCAAAUGCUCUUUCUGUUGGUUCCAUAAAUUAAAACUUUCACUUUUUUCGACUGCUUGAUGGCCGUGAAUAUGUUUGUUUCGUUACCUGAAAAUCAAAGCUCAGACUCGAGUGACCUUUUGCAGAUCGUUGUCAAUUCCACAUGUGAUCCAAAAUACGCAAGUACAAAUCUCACGGUAGUCCAAUGACGGAGCUCAAUGGAGCAAGCAUAAUUAACCCUCAUGGGGCUAUUGAUUUCUGUUCACUAGUUCAUUUUUCAUGAGCCGUACAUUCAAGCUUAUUUCGGCUGUUAGGCGAUCCGCGUUGCAAGGAUAUACGAGGGAAGUUGCUAGUGUUAUUUGACGUCUGAUGUACACAAUUGACUUAGAUGUUCAUGAACUGAAACUUUU